UACGAAGGGUGCAAGCGUUACUCGGAAUUACUGGGCGUAAAGCGUGCGUAGGUGGUUCGUUAAGUCUGAUGUGAAAGCCCUGGGCUCAACCUGGGAAUGGCAUUGGAUACUGGCGACCUAGAGUGCGGUAGAGGGGUGUGGAAUUCCCGGUGUAGCAGUGAAAUGCGUAGAUAUCUGGAGGAAUACCGGUGGCGAAGGCGGCAUCCUGGACCGACAUUGACGCUGAGGAGCGAAAGCUAGGGAGCAAACGGG
rnacentral:rRNA from 1 species